AGUGAACGCUGGCGGUAGGCCUAACACAUGCAAGUCGAACGGCAGCACAGUAAGAGCUUGCUCUUACGGGUGGCGAGUGGCGGACGGGUGAGGAAUACAUCGGAAUCUACUUUUUCGUGGGGGAUAACGUAGGGAAACUUACGCUAAUACCGCAUACGACCUACGGGUGAAAGCAGGGGAUCUUCGGACCUUGCGCGAUUGAAUGAGCCGAUGUCGGAUUAGCUAGUUGGCGGGGUAAAGGCCCACCAAGGCGACGAUCCGUAGCUGGUCUGAGAGGAUGAUCAGCCACACGGGACCUGGGACACGGCCCGGACCCCUACGGAGGGCAGAGGUGGGGAAUAUUGGAAAAUGGGGGCAGGCCUGAUCCAGCCAUACGGCUGGGGUGAAGAAGGCCUUCGGUUGUAAAGCCCUUUUGUUGGGAAAGAAAAGCAGCAGGUUAAUACCCCGCUGUUCUGACGGUACCCAAAGAAUAAGCACCGGCUAACUUCGUG
rnacentral:rRNA from 1 species